UCUGCUAAAUGUGCAGUACGCCACUCCCGAUAUUCUGCACCGUGUGCAUGCUCAACGUAACACGCGACGGAACUUGGGCUCUGAAUCAACGUCAGUGAACAAGCGGAACAGUUUUCCAAGGUUCUAUCUCAUUGGUUAGAACAUGCCUCCGUAACAUGGGACACUCCACAAAGAUACCUUUCUGAAGCGAUCGAAGUUGCUCAACACAGAGCAGUUCAUUUUGUAACUAUCGACUACUCAUAAUCUACACGAGUCACAGCUCUAAAGUCACCUGUGGCUAUGAGUGACAGAUGGAGACAGGACUGCGGGAGUACUUCUGUUGAAUGUUCUCUUCAACUAUCUGUUGUUUAACAUGAACACUGAAAUAACAUGUAUCGUAUUUUCUCGAUUAUAAGACGACCGGUAUCACGUGUUGCGGUGUCAGCACGAUGCAAAUAUGCAAUAUGGGC